rnacentral:rRNA from 1 species
ACGAACGCUGGCGGCGUGCCUAAUACAUGCAAGUAGAACGCACAGUUUAUACCGUAGCUUGCUACACCAUAGACUGUGAGUUGCGAACGGGUGAGUAACGCGUAGGUAACCUGCCUGGUAGCGGGGGAUAACUAUUGGAAACGAUAGCUAAUACCGCAUAAUAUUAAUUAUUGCAUGAUAAUUAAUUGAAAGGUGCAAUUGCACCACUACCAGAUGGACCUGCGUUGUAUUAGCUAGUAGGUGAGGUAACGGCUCACCUAGGCGACGAUACAUAGCCGACCUGAGAGGGUGAUCGGCCACACUGGGACUGAGACACGGCCCAGACUCCUACGGGAGGCAGCAGUAGGGAAUCUUCGGCAAUGGACGAAAGGCUGACCGAGCAACGCCGCGUGAGUGAAGAAGGUUUUCGGAUCGUAAAGCUCUGUUGUAAGAGAAGAACGGGUGUGAGAGUGGAAAGUUCACACUGUGACGGUAUCUGAACAGAAAGGGACGGCUAACUACGUG